GACGUAGGGCGCGAGCGUUGGCCGGAUUUAUUGGGCGUAAAGAGCUCGUAGGCGGCUUGUCGCGUCGACUGUGAAAACCCGUGGCUCAACCAUGUGGUCUGCAGUCGAUACGGGCAGGCUAGAAUUCGGUAGGGGAGACUGGAAUUCCUGGUGUAGCGGUGAAAUGCGCAGAUAUCAGGAGGAACACCGGUGGCGAAGGCGGGUCUCUGGGCCGAUACUGACGCUGAGGAGCGAAAGCGUGGGGAGCGAACAGG
rnacentral:rRNA from 1 species